GACGAACGCUGGCGGCGUGCUUAACACAUGCAAGUCGAACGAAGUGGCGAACGGGUGAGUAACGCGUAAUCAACCUGCCCUUCAGAGGGGGACAACAGUUGGAAACGACUGCUAAUACCGCAUACUGAAGGAGGGGAUUGCGUCUGAUUGGCUAGCUGGGGGGGUAACGGCCCACCAAGGCGAUGAUCAGGAGCCGGGCUGAGAGGAUGAACGGCCACAUUGGGACCGAGAACCGGCCCAGAAUCCUACGGUAGGGAGCAGUGGGGAAUCGUCGGAAAUGGAGGAAAGGCUGACGGAGCAACGCCGCGUGAGUGAUGACGGCCUUCGGGUUGUAAAGCUCUUUUAAUCGGGACGCGGUACCGGAAUAGAAAGCCACGGCUAACUACGUGCCAGCAGCCGCGGUAAUUC
rnacentral:rRNA from 1 species